GGUUCAUUCAAAUUUCUGCCCUAUCAACUUUCGAUGGUAGGAUAGUGGCCUACCAUGGUUUCAACGGGGUAACGGGGAAUAGGGUUCUAUUCCGGAGAGGGAGCCUGAGAAACGGCUACCACAUCCAAGGNAGGCAGCAGGCGCGCAAAUUACCCAAUCCCGACCGGGGAGGUAGUGACAAUAAAUACUGAUACAGGGCUCUUUUGGGUCUUGUAAUUGGAAUGAGUACAAUUUAAAUCCCUUAACGAGGAACAAUUGGAGGGCAAGUCUGGUGCCAGCAGCCGCGGUAAUUCCAGCUCCAAUAGCGUAUAUUAAAGUUGUUGCAGUUAAAAAGCUCGUAGUUG
rnacentral:rRNA from 1 species